UACGGGGGGGGCAAGCGUUGUUCGGAAUUACUGGGCGUAAAGGGUUCGUAGGUGGCUUGCUAAGUCAGACGUGAAAUCCCUCAGCUUAACUGGGGAACUGCGUCUGAUACUGGCGAGCUUGAGUGCAGGAGAGGAACGCGGAAUUCCAGGUGUAGCGGUGAAAUGCGUAGAUAUCUGGAGGAACACCGGUGGCGAAGGCGGCGUUCUGGACUGCAACUGACACUGUAAAACGAAAGCCAGGGGAGCAAACGGG
rnacentral:rRNA from 1 species